GUGAGGAAUUUUCCGCAAUGGGCGAAAGCCUGACGGAGCAAUGCCGCGUGAAGGAUGAAGGCCUAUGGGUUGUAAACUUCUUUUCUUAGAGAAGAAUAUUGACGGUAUCUGAGGAAUAAGCAUCGGCUAACUCUGUGCCAGCAGCCGCGGUAAGACAGAGGAUGCAAGCGUUAUCCGGAAUGAUUGGGCGUAAAGCGUCUGUAGGUGGCUUCAAAAGUCUCCUGUGAAAGAUCAGGGCUUAACCCUGGGCAGGCAGGAGAAACUCAGAGGCUAGAGUUUGGUAGGGGCAGAGGGAAUUCCCGGUGGAGCGGUGAAAUGCGUAGAGAUCGGGAGGAACACCAAAGGCGAAAGCACUCUGCUGGGCCACAACUGACACUGAGAGACGAAAGCGAGGGGAGCAAAAGGGAUUAGAUACCCGGGUAGUCC
rnacentral:rRNA from 1 species